GAAAAAAAAAAGCUAAAACUAGAUUUUGAUAACUGCUAACACAGACAAAGAGCACCAGAAGCAUGGAAAAAAAAAAAAAGUGGAACUGUCCGUCCCCAGUUUCCCCAGACUUACUUUAUUAUGGUGGCUUUCCAACUGAAAAAUCUCACUAGAAACAACCUGAAAAUUGUUGAAGGACCAGGAGAGAGCAGAAGACAUUAAAACAACAACAACAACAACAACAACAAAAACAGUUUCACCACAGUAAAAGAUUUGGACGCACAAAAAUCAGAAAUCAAUGUCCGACUGAAUGUCCUUAAGUGAAGUGUUUUACACAUAGAAAUUAUUGCCCUACAAACUCUAUCCCAACUCAAGAACAGAAAAGAUUAUCAUUUUCCACCUUAAAUGAGGGCACGAGAACCAGAGGAUUAUUUUUUCAGGUAUAAAAACUUUAUUGAAGAGAAAGAAUGUAAGCGAAGAGUAGUAGGAUAUGAAACGUGGCUUUCUUUUUUUAAUGAAAAUGCAACUUCUUAUUGGUUUUCUUUUCUUAGGCUGAUAUAUAAGCUCUUUAGGCCAUGUAUAUGUGGAGGGUGACUUUCCAGGAGAGAUGGCACUAUCUUCUCUCCUAUGGAUUAGACAUUGUGUUGCCAAAAACAAUUUAGCUCUUCAACAAGAUUUUGUGCUGCUCCAAUAGUGCUGGCCUGGUAGACCAGGGAAAGAAGAAUUAAGAACCACUGACCUGAAGCCUGAUUUCGACUCUACACUGCUUCAUGAUAAUAAAUGUAAAAAAAAAAAAAAAUCCACAGGAAUCCUAGGAGGUAGGAAAGACAGUGGGGAGUGGUGGGCUCUUAUUCUUGUGCUUCAAAACCAGAAUAGGUACUGCUUGGGUGCAGAGCGGAAAAGACAACUCCAUUAAAAAUGAAUGGUACUGGGAAUUUUACUUCUACCCAGAAUGUAGAAAGCCAAAUAAAAUGUAACCCCCACUCCAAUAAUAACAACAACAACAAAGCUGGAUAGUAUGAAAAAAUACUUUUUUUAUCAGAGAGCUACAUUUCUAUAGCUAUGGCUGCUGUAAAGAAACUAGGCAAAUUGAUUCUAAAGGACAAUAAGCCCUUCAGAAAAAGGAUGGGACACACAAACCAUUUUACUUUUCAAAGAGCACAGAAAGAAGAAAAAGCAGUCAUAAAGGAAGAUAGAAACACUUGAAAUUUUAAUGAAUUCUUAAAGGCCAAGGGAAGCUUAACAGUUUAGAAACCCUAGAAGCCUAAGAAAUAAGGGGAGUCUAUACCCGUUUACCAGAUCUUUGUUUAAGGGAAAAGAUUUGGUCGUGGUAGACUGUCCCUGAGAAAGAAGAAGGAAUACUUUCCCUCCUACCUCCACUGACCCUUCUGCUAUCCAAAGCAAAAGCAGUUUUGCCUCUGGGAUUGAGGCAGGAAACUCUCAUGCCCUCCAGUCUGUGACAAAGGUUAUCUGUUACAGAAGAAAAAACCCACUGAAGGAGGAGCAGCAAACCAUCCUGUCUAUGGCCUACCUUAAGAUUGACUGCCACCAGAGAGAGGGAUAGAAAUAAAACAGUUUGCCAAAAAGAGAGGAGCAGGAACUUCAUUUCUUCCCAAGAACCCCACUGAAACAAGGCAAAGCCCGAACUUGAGGUUCAGGCAUUCAGGGCAUGUCCAAAAUUGAGGCUGGACCAGGGACAACCUAGCUUCUGCCUCGAUGAGGAGUUUUGCAUGAGUGAAAAAACAGCACUCCACCAAUAUAGGUAGAAAUUCAGAAAUUCAGUGUGUAAAAUGGUAAAGUGGAUUGAAGUUGAAGAUAUUAGAUCAUUUAAGAAGUCAAUAAAUGAAGUAAUAAACAUGCGAAUGAGAAGACUGAUGAUGAAGAGGACCUUUAAAAGUGUAUUUCUGUUACGGUUAUUUUUUUUUUAAAGUGAUUUGAAGCCAUUUAUAAUGAUUGCUAAGUGGCAUGCUAAAGUUUUAAAAACAAAUAAAGCAUUAAAAAAUAA